rnacentral:rRNA from 1 species
UUUCCGGUUGAUCCUGCCGGAGGCUACUGCUAUUGGAAUCCGAUUAAGCCAUGCGAGUCUAAAGGACUCCGGUCCUUGGCGGACGGCUCAGUAACACGUGGAGAACCUGCCCUCAGGAGGGGGAUAACCCCGGGAAACUGGGAAUAAUACCCCAUAGGUCUAGAAUGCUGGAAUGCUUCUAGGCCGAAAGCUCCGGCGCCUGAGGAUGGCUCUGCGGCUUAUCAGGUUGUAGUGAGGGUAACGUCCUCACUAGCCUAUGACGGGUACGGGCCCUGAGAGGGGAAGCCCGGAGAUGGACUCUGAGACACGAGUCCAGGCCCUACGGGGCGCAGCAGGCGCGAAAACUCCGCAAUGCUCGAAAGAGUGACGGGGGGAUUCCAAGUGCCUACGCUCAGCGUAGGCUGUUCAGAUGCCUAAAAAGCAUCUGGAGUAAGGGCUGGGUAAGACGGGUGCCAUCUGCAGUGGUAGCGAAAGAUUUGGCUUGCUACUGCAAGGCAUAAGCCGCCGCGGUAACACCCGCAGCUCGAGUGGUAGUCGAUUUUAUUGGGCCUAAAGCGUCCGUAUCCGGUCUGGUAAAUGCCUGGGUAAAUCGUCUGGCUUAACCAGACGAAUUCCGGGUAGACUGCCAGACUUGGGACCGGUUGAGGAAGAGGGUACUUCAGGGGUAGGAGUGAAAUCCUGUAAUCCUUGAAGGACCACCAGUGGCGAAGGCGCUCUUCUAGGACGGGUCCGACGGUGAGGGACGAAAGCCAGGGGAGCAAACCGGAUUAGAUACCCGGGUAGUCCUGGCCGUAAACGAUGUGGGCUUGGCAUUGGGGGUUCUACGUGAGCGCCCAGUGUCGUAGCGAAGGCGUUAAGCCCACCGCCUGGGAAGUAUGGUCGCAAGGCUGAAACUUAAAGGAAUUGGCGGGGGAGCACAGCAACGGGAGGAGCGUGCGGUUUAAUUGGAUUCAACGCCGGA